UACGUAGGGUGCAAGCGUUGUCCGGAAUUAUUGGGCGUAAAGAGCUUGUAGGCGGUUUGUCGCGUCUGCUGUGAAAUUUCGGGGCUCAACCCCGAACUUGCAGUGGGUACGGGCAGACUAGAGUGUGGUAGGGGAGACUGGAAUUCCUGGUGUAGCGGUGAAAUGCGUAGAUAUCAGGAGGAACACCCGUGGCGAAGGCGGCCAGCUGGGCCGUCCCUGACGCUGAGGCGCGAAGGCGUGGGGAGCGAACGGG
rnacentral:rRNA from 1 species